AACCUGCUGAGGAGUCCCAUACUAGGACGAAACGGCUGUCCAGCGC
rnacentral:hammerhead_ribozyme from 1 species